rnacentral:rRNA from 1 species
AGAGUUUGAUCAUGGCUCAGGAUGAACGCUGGCGGCAUGCCUAAUACAUGCAAGUCGAACGAACUUUUUUAGACUUAGAUCUUAGAUCUUAGAUUCUAGCCCUAGUGGCUAACAUCUAACAUCUAGCUUCUAACCUCUAAACUAGUUAGUGGCGAACGGGUGAGUAACACGUUGGAACCUACCCUAGAGUGGGGAAUAAUUCGCCGAAAGGUGGACUAAUACCCCAUAGUAUCCAAUUUAUUUGGAUUAAAGAUUUAUCGCUCUAGGAGGGGCCUGCGCAACAUUAGCUUGUUGGUGAGGUAAAAGCUCACCAAGGCGACGAUGUUUAGCUGGAUCGAGAGGUUGACCAGCCACACUGGGACUGAGAUACGGCCCAGACUCCUACGGGAGGCAGCAGUAAGGAAUAUUCCGCAAUGGAGGAAACUCUGACGGAGCAAUGCCGCGUGCAGGAAGACGCAUUUCGGUGUGUAAACUGCUUUUAAGUGGGAUGAUUAUGACAGUACCGCUAGAAUAAG